CAGAGGUCAUUGAGGAGAUGGAGCCCCCAGCCAAGUUCCUUUGUCUCCUGCUCCUGUGGCUCCCAGGUUCACAAGGUGAAGUUGUUCUGACCCAGUCACCAGCCUCCCUGUCUGUGGCUCUGGGAGAGAGAGUCGCCAUCAACUGCAAGGCCAGUCAAAGUGCACUACAUAGCAAUGGGCACACUUACUUUCAUUGGUAUCAACAGAAACCAAGACAAGCUCCUAAAUCCCUGAUUUAUGAAGUUUCCAAUCUGUCCUCUGGGGUUCCCUCUCGAUUCAGUGGCAGUGUGUCUGGGACAGAUUUCACCCUCACAAUCAGCAGGCUGGAGCCUGAAGAUUUAGCCAUCUAUUACUGUCGGUAUGGAACUCACUGGCUUCUACAAAGCGCUCUAAACUUGAACAAAACCCCCCCCAUAUUAUUCAGCCAUGAGCUCAUGGGAAAAGCUGCUUUCCCCAGAGGCCUAGACUCACAGCAACUGCUGCUCUACAUUCAAGAUAGGAGUCAUCUUAGAUCCCCUUACUAUUAUUUACCUCAUUGCUCAAGAAGCAACAUGCCAUGCUGGAAAUAG